UGGAGGAAUAUUGGUCAAUGGGCGCAAGCCUGAACCAGCCAAGUCGCGUGAGGGAAGACGGUCCUAUGGAUUGUAACCUCUUUGUCGGGAGCAAAGCGCGGUACGAGUACCGCGAAGGAGAGUACCCGAAGAAAAAGCAUCGGCUAACUCCGUGCCAGCAGCCG
rnacentral:rRNA from 1 species